rnacentral:snoRNA from 1 species
ACGCAAGCCCUCUAGCAAGAUGCAGGCCGGAGUCUGUGCCUCGUUCCCUGGGGCGAUAGCUCUUGCUGGCAGGUCUUGCAGUGUCCAUGCUUGGGCAACACGUUCUCCAGCUAUACCU